GUGCCGAUGGUGCAUGGGCAGCACGUUGCGUAGCAUAGCGCAAAGAGGCGGGUUCGAGCCCCGCAAGGCACUCCA
rnacentral:tRNA from 1 species